CCCUUAGAUGUUCUGGGCCGCACGCGCGCUACACUGACGAAUGCAACGAGCUUAUAACCUUGGCCGAAAGGUCUGGGUAAUCUCCAAAUUUCGUCGUGAUGGGGAUAGAUUAUUGCAAUUAUUAAUCUUCAACGAGGAAUGCCUAGUAAGCGCAAGUCAUCAGCUUGCGUUGAUUACGUCCCUGCCCUUUGUACACACCGCCCGUCGCUCCUACCGAUUGAAUGGUCCGGUGAAGCGUUCGGACCGUGGCCUUUGGACGGUUCGCCGUCUGUUGGCUGCGGGAAGUUCGUUAAACCUUAUCAUUUAGAGGAAGGAGAAGUCGUNACA
rnacentral:rRNA from 1 species